rnacentral:rRNA from 1 species
UGGGGAAUUUUGGACAAUGGGCGCAAGCCUGAUCCAGCCAUGCCGCGUGCGGGAAGAAGGCCUUCGGGUUGUAAACCGCUUUUGUCAGGGAAGAAAUCUUCUGAGUUAAUACCUCGGGAGGAUGACGGUACCUGAAGAAUAAGCACCGGCUAACUACGUGCCAGCAGCCGCGGUAAUACGUAGGGUGCAAGCGUUAAUCGGAAUACUGGGCGUAAAGCGUGCGCAGGCGGUUUUGUAAGACAGAGGUGAAAUCCCCGGGCUCAACCUGGGAACUGCCUUUGUGACUGCAAGGCUUGAGUGCGGCAGAGGGGGAUGGAAUUCCGCGUGUAGCAGUGAAAUGCGUAGAUAUGCGGAGGAACACCGAUGGCGAAGGCAAUCCCCUGGGCCUGCACUGACGCUCAUGCACGAAAGCGUGGGGAGCAAAACAGGAUUAGAUCCCUGGUAGUCCACGCCCUAAAACGAUGUCAACUGGUUGUUGGGAAGUUCCUUCUCAGUAACGUAGCUAACGCGUGAAGUUGACCGCCUGGGGAGUACGGCCGCAAGGUUGAAAC